CAGCAGCCGCGGUAAUACCAGCCCCGCUAGUGGUCGGGACGAUUAUUGGGCUUAAAGCGUCCGUAGCCGGGUUGGGAAGUCCUCCGGGAAAUCUGGCCGCUUAACGGUCAGAAUGCCGGAGGAUACUCCCAGCCUAGGGAGCGGGAGAGGCCGAGGGUAUUCCCGGAGUAGGGGUGAAAUCCUAUAAUCCCGGGAGGACCACCUGUGGCGAAGGCGCUCGGCUGGAACGCGUCCGACGGUGAGGGACGAAGGCCAGGGGAGCAAACCGGAUUAGAUACCCGGGUAGUCCUGGCUGUAAACGAUGCGGACUUUGUGUCGGACAAGCUAUGAGCUUGUCCGGUGCCGGAGGGAAACCGUUAAGUCCGCCGCCUGGGGAGUACGGCCGCAAGGCUGAAACUUAAAGGAAUUGGCGGG
rnacentral:rRNA from 1 species